GUCUCCGUAGUGUAAUGGUAGCACACUCGGCGCGUAUUCUAGAGGUCCAGGUUCGACUCCUGGCGAAAGCA
rnacentral:tRNA from 1 species